CGCACGGUAAACGAUGGAUGCCCGUUCUGCGGCCUUAUGGCCGCGGGACCAAGCGAAAGCAUUAAGCAUCCCACCUGGGGAGUACGCCGGCAACGGUGAAACUCAAAGGAAUUGACGGGG
rnacentral:rRNA from 1 species